UUCCAUUUUCCUCAUACCAAACACGACUCUAUCUCUCUCCUCCUUUCCCUUUUUACCCCUAACCCUAGAAUGUCGCCUCAAUCCGAAAUGGCAUUCGCGCGGAAGCCACAGAGAUUGCACAAUCUUUACACGUCCAUUUGCGUGAAACAAUUAAUGUUUCAAUCUCGAAUUCGCUUUUCUCACCCCAAACACGGUAAUAACCCUUCUUCUUUACGUUUUCCUUUAAUUUUGAGUCAAAACAUAUGAUUUUCUGUAUUUUUAUUAUUGUAUUGCAUUUUUACUUUCUUGAUCCUCAUUGGUUGAGCUUGAAUCAACCGGAUCGAAAAAUAUAAGUCCCAAAUCAAGCCAUUCGUUGCCAAUAGAGGCUAAUCUAGACCGUAGAAUUCGGUUGCUAAAUUAUUUUUCUGAGAAAUCCUACUUUGUACCACAUCGGUGUUCUAGGGUUUUUGAUAAUUUUGGGGUUCUAUAAAUAGAACCCCAACCUUCACCAAAAAACCAAGUUUUGGCAAGCCCAAAAAAGCUAGAGUUUUAAGUUCAACUUGAAAUUUAAGCUUAAUAGUAUAAUUUUAGACUUAAUCUCUCCUUUAGGGUUUGAGUCCUUCAGUUAGAAAUUUUUAUUUACUUUUGUUCUUUUCUUGUGUGAUUGAGUUUGAGAAUUGGAAGCACAAAGGCUCCAAAUCCAUUCUUGUUCGCGGCUGAGCAUCAAAAAGUCCUCCACUGCAUGACCAUUCGGGCGAAGUCCAGCCAACCUGUUGGGCCAAGGCCCAAUAGGCAAAUUCUUUCUAAACUAUCGAGUCCGAUGAAGACGAAGAUGGAAGCUAAUAUUAUUAAAUGCAUAGAAGGCCCAGCCAUGGGUGAAAAUGGUCAACUAGGGGCUUGGGACGCCCCUAGCCUUCCCUUUCUUCUUAUUUAUUUAUUUAUGUCUUCUUUUUAUGUGUAAUCUUGUUGUAUUGUGUAUUUGAUAACGGUACUUAUGCCGUUUAGUUGACUUUAGGUCCCCAAAACGAAUUUUCAAAACCCGCUUAGUAUAAAUAAAUUCUCAAAGUCUAAAAAUGGAUAACUGUUUUCUUUAAAUACAAGUUUAACACGGACAAAUAGGAAAGCAAGAU